AGAGUUUGAUCAUGGCUCAGAUUGAACGCUGGCGGAAUGCUUUACACAUGCAAGUCGAGCGGCAGCGCGGGGCAACCUGGCGGCGAGCGGCGAACGGGUGAGUAAUGCAUCGGAACAUGUCCAUGUGUGGGGGAUAGCCCGGCGAAAGCCGGAUUAAUACCGCAUAAGCCCGAGAGGGGAAAGCCGGGGACCGCAAGGCCUGGCGCGAUUGGGUUGGCCGAUGUCCGAUUAGCUAGUUGGCGGGGUAAGAGCCCACCAAGGCGAUGAUCGGUAGCUGGUCUGAGAGGAUGAUCAGCCACACUGGGACUGAGACACGGCCCAGACUCCUACGGGAGGCAGCAGUGGGGAAUUUUGGACAAUGGGGGAAACCCUGAUCCAGCCAUUCCGCGUGAGUGAAGAAGGCCUUCGGGUUGUAAAGCUCUUUUGUCCGGAACGAAACGGUUACGGUUAAUACCUGUGACUACUGACGGUACCGGAAGAAUAAGCACCGGCUAACUACGUGCCAGCAGCCGCGGUAAUACGUAGGGUGCGAGCGUUAAUCGGAAUUACUGGGCGUAAAGCGUGCGCAGGCGGUUUUGUAAGCCAGAUGUGAAAUCCCCGGGCUUAACCUGGGAAUGGCAUUUGGGACUGCAAGGCUUGAGUGCGGCAGAGGAGACUGGAAUUCCUGGUGUAGCAGUGAAAUGCGUAGAUAUCAGGAGGAACACCGAUGGCGAAGGCAGGUCUCUGGGCUGACACUGACGCUCAUGCACGAAAGCGUGGGGAGCAAACAGGAUUAGAUACCCUGGUAGUCCACGCCCUAAACGAUGUCGACUGGUUGUUGGGGGUUUGACACUCUCAGUAACGAAGCUAACGCGUGAAGUUGACCAAUCACUA
rnacentral:rRNA from 1 species